AUUUGGCCGCCCAGCAAAGACAUCAUCAGGUCGCCCUUCACCCAGUGGAAUGCUGACUGCUGCCAGAUAAACUAACGAGCAUUUGAGGUCCACAAGGACGAGGCUCAGAGCUGAAUUGAACACGAGGUUCUGGGCUGAGGUAGAUCCCGGGAAGAAGCCCUUAAAAAGAAAUAUUUUGCCUUGUGAUUCUCAAAGAGCAUUGUGAGAUGGGGUCAGUCAGGUUUCAAAGUUCUUGGAGUGAGUCAGCCGUUUCCACUGCCUCAUACAAGGCAGUAGUGUGCAUCCUGUAGGAAGUCUGAAGCACAGGUUAGGCAAAGGCAAGCAGGUCACGGAAUGACUAACCAUGCUGCUGCCCUUGUGACCCAGGGACAGCCAGGGAAGGAGCUGGGUUUGCAGGCAGCAAGGCACAAAGAUCUUCACAUUCGGCUCCCACGUGGUGCUGAACCCAGAGCACCAAGCAGGAUUCAAGUAUUUUGUUUCGUGCGCAUUUCCAACCCAUCAAAUCAGCUGCAGGCACCGCACCGUCUAACAGACCCAGAAGGCUGUAAAGUUCCAGCCCGGCAGACAGUAGAGAGGACGGGAGGCAGCAGCGAACCAGCGUUCUCAGCAUCCUGACUCAGGCUGAAUGGAUGUAGCUUUUGGUACCACCCUUUCCAACGAUGCGUCUGAACUUGGCUAUCCUGCCUCUUGAAGAACCAACCUGCCUUCAUCUUGGGCUUAAAAGCCAUCUUAUAAGUAAAGACAAACUAAGUUCAUUCGGCUUAUGAUCAAACCUCUGUUUCUCAAGGAUUGGGCUAUGUCCACCUGUAACCUUAACUACAAAUUAGUCUGUAGUGUCUCUUCCAGGAAACGGAAACCAUUUCUUUGUUCAAAAAGUGAUUAUGACCAUCUUGCAACCCUACCUUUGUUUCAAAAGGGUUAUGACUGACUACCUGUUGUUAUUGAAAGGUCCAGGCAUUACACUGGCCUGCCCUGUUACCUGGCAGAAUGCACUCAGGCAGCACUCUGGCCAGCCCAGAGUUCCAUGAAAACCACACAGGUGCAAAGGACCCCUUUAAAGGACUGACCCCUGCCUGC